rnacentral:rRNA from 1 species
CUACGGAGGGUGCGAGCGUUAUCCGGAUUUAUUAGGUUUAAAGGGUGUGUAGGCGGGAGCCUAAGUCAGUGGUGAAAUCUCACAGCUUAACUGUGAAACUGCCAUUGAAACUGGGUUUCUUGAGUAUAGUUGAGGUAGGCGGAAUGUGUAAUGUAGCGGUGAAAUGCAUAGAUAUUACACAGAACACCGAUUGCGAAGGCAGCUUACUAAGCUAUUACUGACGCUGAUGUACGAAAGCGUGGGUAGCGAACAGGAUUAGAAACCCCAGUAGUCC